GCCGAAGUGGUGGAAUGGCAGACACGUCGCACUCAAAAUGCGAUGCCGCGAGGCGUGUGGGUUCGAGUCCCACCUUCGGUAUCA
rnacentral:tRNA from 2 species